rnacentral:rRNA from 1 species
ACCCGCUGAAUUUAAGCAUAUCACUAAGCGGAGGAAAAGAAACUAACAAGGAUUCCCCUAGUAACGGCGAGUGAAGAGGGAGAAGCCCAGCACCGAAGCCUGCGGCAGAUUUGCUGUUAGGCAAUGUGGUGUUUAGGUCGGCUAGUGGGACCGCCGCUCCACUCGAAGUCCAGCAUUGAGUAUGGCGUCUGGAUUUGGCCCAAAGAGGGUGAAAGGCCCGUACGGGUGGAGGCUUCAGUCAAGUAAGGCGGUUCAUCAGGUCGACCUUCGAGUCGGGUUGUUUGAGAAUGCAGCCCAAAGUGGGUGGUAAACUCCAUCCAAGGCUAAAUACAGACACGAGUCCGAUAGCGAACAAGUACCGUGAGGGAAAGUUGAAAAGUACUCUGAAGAGAGAGUAAACAGUACGUGAAACCGCAUGCAGGUAAACGGGUGGCGUCAAGCUGCAAGCUUGGAGGAUUCAGCUAACCAGAGUUGACGGUGUGCCUGGCGCAUCAAUCGGUCGGAGUAGGUGUGAAUAGUCCACUGUGCGACAGUGGGCCUGGCUGUAGGGCUGGGAUUUGUGUACCGGGUGUGGUCCGGAGCAAGCUAUUCAUCCAUGGGCCGUCUGGUUAGUGCACUUUCUCCGCGGCUAACACCACGACCGGUGGAAUUGCCAGUCUGCUGUAGCCAAGUCGUGUCUAGUAGGUCCUUGCGAUCAGCUGGGUGCGAUCACAGGCAAUCCAGUAUACGGCGCAGAGGUGCUUCGGCACUUUUGCGUGAUAUCGGAAGCUGGUUGUCAACGGGCUGCUCAAUAGUGGGCGCAUAACCGCGUUGGACGGUCCGGUGGGUUAUGGUGGUAUGAAUAACUGUGCAAGGCACCGGGGACAUCGACCUCAGAUGUGGUCCGCCACCAAGUUAUGUAGGAGUGGGGUGCCGUCGGGGCCCGCCUAUUGUUGGGUCUGAUUGCUGUGUCGCCUGCGAAAAAGUGGGCCCAGCAGUGGCCUGAUGUGGGAUGGGCCUGGGUAUGGCGCCUCCAGUGUGGACUGCAGUGGGUCAAAUAGUCAGUGGUGUAGUGGUAGACGAGCUACCCGACCCGUCUUGAAACACGGACCAAGGAGUUCAACAUGUAUGCGAGUCAAAGGGUCUACCGAAACCCGAAGGCGCAGUGAAAGUGAAUCCCCGACUUGUUCUCGGGGUGAGGUGAGAUCCUGCCGUUUCGCAUCAGCCGACACCAGGCUAAGAGCGGUGGGCGCAUCACCGGCCCGUCCCAUGAUGUGGCCAUUGGAUAUCUGCGGUGACUGCUUGCGGUUGCUGUGGUGCCAGUGCGUCAUCGGGGCGGUGCAUGAGCAUACACGUUGAGACCCGAAAGAUGGUGAACUAUGCUUGCGUAGGUUGAAGCCAGAGGAAACUCUGGUGGAAGACCGCAGCGAUUCUGACGUGCAAAUCGAUCGUCAAACGCGAGUAUAGGGGCGAAAGACUAAUCGAACCAUCUAGUAGCUGGUUCCCUCCGAAGUUUCCCUCAGGAUAGCUGGCACUCAUUAGCAUACUCAGUUUUAUCCGGUAAAGCGAAUGAUUAGAGGUACUGGGUUCGAAACGAGCUCAACCUAUUCUCAAACUUUAAAUGGGUGAGAAGUCCGGCUCGCCUAAUAGGAGUCGGGCGUUGAAUGUGCGAGUGCCAAGUGGGCCAUUUUUGGUAAGCAGAACUGGCGCUGUGGGAUGAACCAAACGCUCGGUUAAGGUGCCUAACUGACGCUCAUGAGACACCACAAAAGGUGUUGGUUAAUAUAGACAGCAGGACGGUGGCCAUGGAAGUCGGCAUCCGCUAAGGAGUGUGUAACAACUCACCUGCCGAAUUGACCAGCCCUGAAAAUGGAUGGCGCURGAGCGUUGGACCUAUACCGGGCCGUCAUCGCAAGCUGGGCCGUCGGUCAUCGCGUUUGCGAGCGGCAAUUCUAUCUUGUCGUUUAGUGGUCAUGGUCCAGGCAAGUAUGCGAUGGCGAGUAGGAGGGUCGCCGUGGUGGCGUAGAAGCUUCGGACGUGAGUCCGGGUGGAGCCGCCACGGGUGCAGAUCUUGGUGGUAGUAGCAAAUAUUCAAGUGAGAUCCUUGAAGGCCGAGGUGGAGAAGGGUUCCAUGGGAACAGUAGUUGACCAUGGGUCAGGCGGUCCUAAGCGAUCCGGUGGCUCGUUACAGAGAGUGGGGGGUGCCUUCCGUCAUGUGUAUGUGGUAUAUGUUGGCUGCCCCGCCGGAGCGAAAGGGAAUCGGGUUAAUAUUCUCGACCCUGCCCACGGAGAUAGGCGGCGUUCGGCUGGGCUGCGUAAGUGGUCUGUGCUCGGGCGUCGCCAAGCGCGGUAACGCAACCGAACUCGGAGACGUCGGCGAGAGUUCCGGGAAGAGUUUUCUUUUCUUUGUAAGGAUGGCUACCACCCCUGGAAUCGGGUUGUCCGGAGAUAGGGGUAUCGCCUCCGUAAAGCACCACCCCUCUUGUGGUGUCCGGAACGCUCUUGUCGGCCCUUGAAAAUC